rnacentral:rRNA from 1 species
GUGGGGAAUAUUGCGCAAUGGGGGAAACCCUGACGCAGCAACGCCGCGUGAGUGAUGAAGGCUUUCGAGUCGUAAAACUCUGUCUUUGGGGACGAAUAAUGACGGUACCCAAGGAGGAAGCCCCGGCUAACUACGUGCCAGCAGCCGCGGUAAUACGUAGGGGGCAAGCGUUGUCCGGAAUCACUGGGCGUAAAGGGCGCGUAGGCGGUUUGUUAAGUCAGGUGUGAAAGUUUUCAGCUUAACUGGAAAAGUGCACUUGAAACUAACUUACUUGAGUACUGGAGAGGUAAGCGGAAUUCCUAGUGUAGCGGUGAAAUGCGUAGAUAUUAGGAAGAACACCGGUGGCGAAGGCGGCUUACUGGACAGAGACUGACGCUGAGGCGCGAAAGCGUGGGGAGCGAACAGGAUUAGAAACCCGAGUAGUCC